UACAUGGGGUGCAAACGUUGCUCGGAAUUAUUGGGCGUAAAGCGCACGUAGGCGGUUUGUUAAGUCGGAUGUGAAAUCCCUCGGCUCAACUGAGGAAGUGCACCCGAAACUGGCAGGCUUGAGUACUAAAGAGGGUCGCGGAAUUCCCGGUGUAGAGGUGAAAUUCGUAGAUAUCGGGAGGAACACCGGUGGCGAAGGCGGCGACCUGGGUAGAUACUGACGCUGAGGUGCGAAAGCUAGGGGAGCAAACAGG
rnacentral:rRNA from 1 species